rnacentral:rRNA from 1 species
CGUAGGGGGCGAGCGUUGUCCGGAUUCAUUGGGCGUAAAGAGCUCGUAGGCGGUUCGGUAAGUCGGCUGUGAAAUCUCCACGCUCAACGUGGAGGGGUCAGUCGAAACUGCCGUGACUCGAGUCCGGUAGAGGAGUGUGGAAUUCCCGGUGUAGCGGUGAAAUGCGCAGAGAUCGGGAGGAACACCCGUAGCGAAGGCGGCACUCUGGGCCGGUACUGACGCUGAGGAGCGAAAGCGUGGGGAGCAAACAGGAUUAGAUACCCUGGUAGUCCACGCCGUAAACGUUGGGCACUAGGUGUGGGGCUCUAUCGACGGGUUCCGUGCCGUAGCUAACGCAUUAAGUGCCCCGCCUGGGGAGUACGGCCGCAAGGCUA